rnacentral:rRNA from 1 species
UUGUAAUGAGGAUUUCCCUUCGGGGACACGAAGACAGGUGUUGCAUGGUUGUCGUCAGCUCGUGUCGUGAGAUGUUAGGUUAAGUCCUGCAACGAGCGCAACCCUCAUAUACAGUUGCCAAUAUUAAGUUAGGAACUCUGUAUAGACUGCCGUGGUUAACACGGAGGAAGGUGGGGAUGACGUCAAAUCAUCACGGCCCUUACGUUCUGGGCUACACCCGUGCUACAAUGGCUAUUACAAAGAGUCGCAAUACCGCAAGGUGGAGCUAAUCUCAUAAAGAUAGUCUCAGUUCGGAUUGUGGGCUGCAACCCGCCCACAUGAAGUCGGAGUUGCUAGUAAUCCCGAAUCAGCAUGUCGGGGUGAAUGCGUUCCCGGGUCUUGUACACACCGCCCGUCAAGCCAUGGGAGUUGGGAGUGCCCAAAGUCAGUGUCCUAACCGCAAGGAGGGAGCUGCCUAAGGUAAUACCAAUGACUGGGGUUAAGUCGUAACAAGGUAACCGUAUCGGAAGGUGCG